GCAUAUCAAUAAGCGGAGGAAAAGAAACUAACAAGGAUUCCCCUAGUAACGGCGAGUGAAGCGGGAAGAGCUCAAAUUUGUAAUCUGGCACUUUCAGUGUCCGAGUUGUAAUCUCGAGAAGUAUUUUCCGCGCCGGACUGCAUACAAGUCUGUUGGAAUACAGCGUCAUAGUGGUGAGAACCCCGUAACUGAUGCAGAUGCCCGGUGCUUUGUGAUAUACUUUCGAAGAGUCGAGUUGUUUGGGAAUGCAGCUCAAAUUGGGUGGUAAAUUCCAUCUAAAGCUAAAUAUUGGCGAGAGACCGAUAGCGAACAAGUACCGUGAGGGAAAGAUGAAAAGCACUUUGGAAAGAGAGUUAACAGUACGUGAAAUUGUUGGAAGGGAAACGCUUGAAGUCAGACUUGCUAUUUGGAAUUCAGCCGCAAGGUGUACUUUUCAAUUCGCAGGCCAGCAUCAGUUUUUGGGGGUGGAAAAGGGUAGAGAGAAGGUAGCAGUCUCGGCUGUGUUAUAGCUCUUUGCUGGAUUCAUCCUUGGGGACUGAGGAACGCAGCACGCUUUUUGCAAGGCUUUCGAGCUUUUCGUGCUUAGGAUGCUGGUGGAAUGGCUUUAAACGACCCGUCUUGAAACACGGACCAAGGAGUCUAACAUGCUUGCGAGUGUUUGGGUGUCAAACCCGGACGCGCAAUGAAAGUGAAUGGAGGUGGGAAGCGCAAGCUGCACCAUCGACCGAUCUGGAUUUUUUAAGAUGGAUUUGAGUAAGAGCAAUUAUGUUGGGACCCGAAAGAUAGUGAACUAUGCCUGAAUAGGGCGAAGCCAGAGGAAACUCUGGUGGAGGCUCGUAGCGGUUCUGACGUGCAAAUCGAUCGUC
rnacentral:rRNA from 1 species